AGAGUUUGAUCCUGGCUCAGAACGAACGCUGGCGGCGCGUUUUAAGCAUGCAAGUCGAAGGAGAGGCAAGAGCUUGCUCUUGUGGAAACUGGCGCACGGGUGAGUAACACGUAAGAAUCUACCUUAGAGUGGGGGAUAGCUCAUGGAAACAUGGGGUAAUACCGCAUAUGCCUACGGGUAAAAGUAUUUAUACGCUUUAAGAUGAGCUUGCGGUCCAUUAGCUUGUUGGUGAGGUAAAGGCUCACCAAGGCCACGAUGGAUAGCCGGCCUGAGAGGGUGAACGGUCACAUUGGAACUGAGACACGGUCCAGUCUCCUACGGGAGGCAGCAGCUAAGAAUAUUCCGCAAUGGGAGAAAUCCUGACGGAGUACGCCGCGUGAUUGAUGAAGGCAGCAAUGUCGUAAAGAUCUUUUAUAUGGGAAGAAUAAUGCCUUUAGGCAGAUGACGGUACCAUAUGAAUAAGCCCCGGCUAACUACGUGCCAGCAGCCGCGGUAAUACGUAGGGGGCAAGCGUUGUUCGGAAUUAUUGGGCGUAAAGGGCAUGUAGGCGGUUUUGUAAGUGUGGAUUGAAAGACCGGAGCUUAACUCCGUGUUUGGUCUGCAAACUGCAAGACUAGAAUUUAGGAUGGGAGACUGGAAUUCCGCGUGGAAGGGUGAAAUCUUCAGAGAUGCGGAGGAAUACCGGUGGCGAAGGCGAGUCUCUGGCCUAUUAUUGACGCUAAUGUGCGAAAGUGUGGUUAGCGAACAGGAUUAGAUACCCUGGUAGUCCACACCGUAAACGUUGUACACUAGGUGUCAGAAGUAUCGACCCUUCUGGUGCCCGUAGCUAACGCGUUAAGUGUACCGCCUGGGGAGUAUGCUCGCAAGGGUGAAACUCAAAGGAAUUGACGGGGGCCCGCACAAGCGGUGGAGCAUGUGGUUUAAUUCGACGAUACGCGAAAAACCUUACCAGGAUUUGACAUCUACUUGACCGGUGUAGAGAUACACCUUUCUCUUCGGAGACGGGUAGACAGGUGCUGCAUGGCUGUCGUCAGCUCGUGUUGUGAGAUGUUGGGUUAAGUCCCGCAACGAGCGCAACCCUUAUCGUUAGUUGCCAUCACGUUAUGGUGGGCACUCUAGCGAAACUGCCGGUGACAAACCGGAGGAAGGUGGGGAUGACGUCAAGUCCUCAUGGCCCUUAUAUCCUGGGCUACACACGUGCUACAAUGGGCUGUACAAAGAGUUGCAAACCUGCGAAGGUAAGCUAAUCUCAAAAAGCAGUCCCCAGUUCGGAUUGGAGUCUGCAACUCGACUCCAUGAAGUUGGAAUCGCUAGUAAUCGCAGAUCAGCAUGCUGCGGUGAAUACGUUCCCGGGCCUUGUACACACCGCCCGUCACACCAUCCGAGUUGAGGAUACCCAAAGAUACUA
rnacentral:rRNA from 1 species